CAGUGAAAAGCCAAAUAGAGGCAUUUAACUGUUAAUUAAGAAAUUGUAUUUUUAUACUUCACUGG
rnacentral:tRNA from 1 species